rnacentral:rRNA from 1 species
GCCAGCCCGCUCAGAAACUUAAAGGAAGUUGACGGGGGCCCGGCACAAGCGGAGGAGCAUGUGGUUUAAUUCGAUGAUACGCGAGGAACCUUACCUGGGCUCGAACGUAAGAUGACUGUAGGUGAAAGCUUACAUCUCUUCGGAGCAUUUUACGAGGUGCUGCAUGGUUGUCGUCAGCUCGUGCCGUGAGGUGUCGGGUUAAGUCCCAUAACGAGCGCAACCCCUACCUUUAGUUGCCAUCAGGUUAAGCUGGGGACUCUAAAGGAACUGCCUACGCAAGUAGUGAGGAAGGCGGGGAUGACGUCAAAUCAGCACGGCCCUUACGUCCAGGGCUACACACGUGCUACAAUGGCCGAUACAGAGGGCAGCUACCUGGUGACAGGAUGCAAAUCUCCAAAGUCGGUCUCAGUUCGGAUCGGAGUCUGCAACCCGACUCCGUGAAGUUGGAUUCGCUAGUAAUCGCGCAUCAGCCAUGGCGCGGUGAAUACGUUCCCGGGCCUU